CGGUUUGGGUUUAGGGUCUAAGACUUGGGUUUAGGGUAUAAGGUUUAGGUUUAUAGUAUAUUUUUGGGUUUCAGGUAUAUAAUUUGGAUUUAGGGUCUAAGAUUAGGUUUUAGGAUAUAGGGUUUGAGUUUAGGGGUUUAGAUUUGAGUUUAGAAUUUAGGGUAUAGGGUUUAGAAUUUAAGAUUUAGGGUUUAGGGUUUCGCUGGAAGCGUUAGCGUCGUUAAAAUUAACGGUUUUAUUUUUUGUAGCUAUUUUUUAUUUAAUUUAAUAUUUUUUAAUUAAUAAUAUAUGUGUCACUUUGAUUGAUCAUAAA
rnacentral:lncRNA from 1 species